rnacentral:rRNA from 1 species
UAUUGGACAAUGGGGGCAACCCUGAUCGAGCCAUGCCGCGUGUGUGAAGAAGGCCUUUUGGUUGUAAAGCACUUUAAGCAGUGAAGAAGACUCCGUGGUUAAUACCCAUGGACGAUGACAUUAGCUGCAGAAUAAGCACCGGCUAACUCUGUGCCAGCAGCCGCGGUAAUACAGAGGGUGCAAGCGUUAAUCGGAAUUAAUGGGCGUAAAGCGAGCGUAGGUGGGUUGGUAAGUCAGGUGUGAAAUCCCCGGGCUUAACCUGGGAACUGCAUCUGAUAGUGUUAGGCUAGAAUAGGUGAGAGGAAGGUAGAAUUCCAGGUGUAGCGGUGAAAUGCGUAGAGAUCUGGAGGAAUACCGAUGGCGAAGGCAGCCUUCUGGCAUCAUAUUGACACUGAGGUUCGAAAGCGUGGGUAGCAAACA